rnacentral:rRNA from 1 species
UACGGGAGGCAGCAGUGGGGAAUAUUGCACAAUGGGCGCAAGCCUGAUGCAGCCAUGCCGCGUGUAUGAAGAAGGCCUUCGGGUUGUAAAGUACUUUCAGUCGUGAGGAAGGUGUUAAGGUUAAUAACCUUAGCAAUUGACGUUAGCGACAGAAGAAGCACCGGCUAACUCCGUGCCAGCAGCCGCGGUAAUACGGAGGGUGCGAGCGUUAAUCGGAAUUACUGGGCGUAAAGGGCACGCAGGCGGUUAAUUAAGUUGGAUGUGAAAUCCCCGGGCUUAACCUGGGAAUGGCAUUCAAGACUGGUUAGCUAGAGUCUUGUAGAGGGGGUAGAAUUCCAUGUGUAGCGGUGAAAUGCGUAGAGAUGUGGAGGAAUACCGGUGGCGAAGGCGGCCCCUGGACAAAGGCUGACGCUCAUGUGCGAAAGCU